AUUUUUUUUUUUUUUUUUUUGUUAAUUUCUGUGGCUUUGUCUCAGUUUUUAUUUAAUAUUUGCCAUAUCCACAAGUCUUUCUGGAAUGUAAAAAAAGAAAUCAAUUGUUUGUGUAUUUUAUACAUUUCUUGAAUUGUUAGUCAUUUUGUGGUCUAAUGUUUGGCCACUGACUCUUGUAAAAUGUAAACUGGUAUUCUGAAUAAAGAAAGCUUCUGUGAUAAACUAAAACUUAAA